rnacentral:lncRNA from 1 species
GAUGAGUUGCCUUCCUUAGGAUUGAGGGAAAAGCUCGAUAAAGAGUCGCAUCGCUAGCUCCUUGUAGAAGAUCAAAGUUUGAAAGUUUUUCAGAUGGUCCAUCGGAUUAGCCAUUCCAUCACAAGGCUCCAUCUGGGGCAUCUUGAAUCGAGAUGGAAGAAGCUCAUCAAUAAUCUUUUGAGUAAACGAUGGGUCAAUGUUAAACGCCAGAUCGUCGUCUGAUUGUUUCGGUGCCUAAAGUGCACGAUCUAUUGCUGCAUUUUUUGAAACUUCUUUUCUAUCUCAUCUUUUUAGCUUGAUCAGCAUCGAGAAGAGAUAUGAUCCAAGGAAGAGUCUCUUCUAGAGAUCGAAGUGGGAGACUGCCUAUAACGAUGACAAGGUGGGCUGUUAGGUCGGCUUU